rnacentral:rRNA from 2 species
ACAGACGAACGCUGGCGGCGUGCUAAUACAUGCAAGUCGAACGCACUCUCGUUUAGAUUGAAGGAGCUUGCUCCUGAUUGAUAAACAUUUGAGUGAGUGGCGGACGGGUGAGUAACACGUGGGUAACCUGCCCUAAAGUGGGGGAUAACAUUUGGAAACAGAUGCUAAUACCGCAUAAAACCUAACACCGCAUGGUGUAGGGUUGAAAGAUGGUUUCGGCUAUCACUUUAGGAUGGACCCGCGGUGCAUUAGUUAGUUGGUGAGGUAAAGGCUCACCAAGACCGUGAUGCAUAGCCGACCUGAGAGGGUAAUCGGCCACACUGGGACUGAGACACGGCCCAGACUCCUACGGGAGGCAGCAGUAGGGAAUCUUCCACAAUGGACGAAAGUCUGAUGGAGCAACGCCGCGUGAGUGAAGAAGGUUUUCGGAUCGUAAAACUCUGUUGUUGGAGAAGAAUGUAUCUGAUAGUAACUGAUCAGGUAGUGACGGUAUCCAACCAGAAAGCCACGGCUAACUACGUGCCAGCAGCCGCGGUAAUACGUAGGUGGCAAGCGUUGUCCGGAUUUAUUGGGCGUAAAGCGAGCGCAGGCGGUUUCUUAAGUCUGAUGUGAAAGCCUUCGGCUCAACCGAAGAAGUGCAUCGGAAACUGGGAAACUUGAGUGCAGAAGAGGACAGUGGAACUCCAUGUGUAGCGGUGAAAUGCGUAGAUAUAUGGAAGAACACCAGUGGCGAAGGCGGCUGUCUGGUCUGUAACUGACGCUGAGGCUCGAAAGCAUGGGUAGCAAACAGGAUUAGAUACCCUGGUAGUCCAUGCCGUAAACGAUGAGUGCUAGGUGUUGGAGGGUUUCCGCCCUUCAGUGCCGCAGCUAACGCAUAAGCACUCCG